rnacentral:rRNA from 1 species
AGUGAACGCUGGCGGUAGGCCUAACACAUGCAAGUCGAACGGCAGCACAGGAGAGCUUGCUCUCUGGGUGGCGAGUGGCGGACGGGUGAGGAAUACAUCGGAAUCUACUUUUUCGUGGGGGAUAACGUAGGGAAACUUACGCUAAUACCGCAUACGACCUACGGGUGAAAGCAGGGGACCUUCGGGCCUUGCGCGAUUGAAUGAGCCGAUGUCGGAUUAGCUAGUUGGCGGGGUAAAGGCCCACCAAGGCGACGAUCCGUAGCUGGUCUGAGAGGAUGAUCGGCCACACUGGAACUGAGACACGGUCCAGACUCCUACGGGAGGCAGCAGUGGGGAAUAUUGGACAAUGGGCGCAAGCCUGAUCCAGCCAUACCGCGUGGGUGAAGAAGGCCUUCGGGUUGUAAAGCCCUUUUGUUGGGAAAGAAAUCCAGCUGGUUAAUACCCGGUUGGGAUGACGGUACCCAAAGAAUAAGCACCGGCUAACUUCGUGCCAGCAGCCGCAGUAA